rnacentral:rRNA from 1 species
ACGAACGCUGGCGGCGUGCCUCAUACAUGCAAGUAGAACGCUGAAGGAGGAGCUUGCUCUUCUGGAUGAGUUGCGAACGGGUGAGUAACGCGUAGGUAACCUGCCUGGUAGCGGGGGAUAACUAUUGGAAACGAUAGCUAAUACCGCAUAAGAGUAGAUGUUGCAUGACAUUUACUUAAAAGGUGCAAUUGCAUCACUACCAGAUGGACCUGCGUUGUAUUAGCUAGUUGGUGGGGUAACGGCUUACCAAGGCGACGAUACAUAGCCGACCUGAGAGGGUGAUCGGCCACACUGGGACUGAGACACGGCCCAGACUCCUACGGGAGGCAGCAGUAGGGAAUCUUCGGCAAUGGACGGAAGUCUGACCGAGCAACGCCGCGUGAGUGAAGAAGGUUUUCGGAUCGUAAAGCUCUGUUGUAAGAGAAGAACGAGUGUGAGAGUGGAAAGUUCACACUGUGACGGUAUCUUACCAGAAAGGGACGGCUAACUACGUG